rnacentral:rRNA from 1 species
AUUGAACGCUGGCGGCAGGCUUAACACAUGCAAGUCGAGCGGAGAUGAGGUGCUUGCACCUUAUCUUAGCGGCGGACGGGUGAGUAAUGCUUAGGAAUCUGCCUAUUAGUGGGGGACAACAUUCCGAAAGGAAUGCUAAUACCGCAUACGUCCUACGGGAGAAAGCAGGGGCUCUUCGGACCUUGCGCUAAUAGAUGAGCCUAAUUCGGAUUAGCUAGUCGGUGGGGUAAAGGCCUACCAAGGCGACGAUCUGUAGCGGGUCUGAGAGGAUGAUCCGGCACACUGGGACUGAGACACGGCCCAGAGUCCUGCGGGAGGCAGCAGUGGGGAAUAUUGGACAAUGGGGGGAACCCUGAUCCAGCCAUGCCGCGUGUGUGAAGAAGGCCUUAUGGUUGUAAAGCACUUUAAGCGAGGAGGAGGCUACUGAGACUAAUACUCUUGGAUAGUGGACGUUACUCGCAGAAUAAGCACCGGCUAACUCUGUGCCAGCCGCCGCCGUAA